UACGUAGGGUGCAAGCGUUAAUCGGAAUUACUGGGCGUAAAGCGUGCGCAGGCGGUUGUGCAAGACAGAUGUGAAAUCCCCGGGCUUAACCUGGGAACUGCAUUUGUGACUGCACAGCUGGAGUGCGGCAGAGGGGAAUGGAAUUCCGCGUGUAGCAGUGAAAUGCGUAGAUAUGCGGAGGAACACCGAUGGCGAAGGCAAUUCCCUGGGCCUGCACUGACGCUCAUGCACGAAAGCGUGGGGAGCAAACAGG
rnacentral:rRNA from 1 species